UACGUAGGAUGCUAGCGUUGUCCGGAUUUACUGGGCGUAAAGCGCGCGCAGGCGGCACUGUAAGUAAGGUGUGAAAUCUCCCUGCUCAACGGGGAGGGUGCACUUUAGACUGCAGAGCUAGAGGACGGUAGAGGGGGGUGGAAUUGCUGGUGUAGCGGUGAAAUGCGUAGAUAUGCGGAGGAACACCGAUGGCGAAGGCAAUCCCCUGGGCCUGCACUGACGCUCAUGCACGAAAGCGUGGGGAGCAAACAGG
rnacentral:rRNA from 1 species